UCUCGGUGAAAGGCGUGGUUGACCCAGUUGUAGUAGUCUCGGUGAAAGGUGUGGUUGAUCCAGUUGUAGUAGUCUCAGUGAAAGGCGUGGUUGAUCCAGUUGUAGUAGUCUCAGUAAAAGGCGUGGUUGACCCAGUUGUAGUAGUUUGGGUGAAAGGCGUGGUUGACCCAGUUGUAGUAGUUUGGGUGAAAGGUGUGGUUGACCCAGUUGUAGUAGUCUCGGUGAACGGUGUGGUUGACCCAGUUGUAGUAGUCUGGGUGAAAGGCGUGGUUGAUCCAGU